AUUGUGCAUGGUUUUAGUGAGAGUAAACUCCCCUUCUCUGUGCCAUCUGUAGAAAAACUACACCAAGUCCUGCUUAGAAGUCUGCUUUCCGAAUGUGGGGGCUGUGUCUCUGCUCCUCAGGUUGGGCUCCAUUGUUAAAUCGUGGCCUUUGAGGGUGUGUUGUUGUUUCCCUUGUUCCACAGGAGGAUGCAGAUGUGGAAUGGAAGUUCGCCCGAGCAAAACUCUGGCUGUCUUACUUUGAUGAAGGAAGAACGCUACCUGCUCCUUUUAAUCUAGUGCCAAGUCCUAAAUCAUUUUAUUAUCUCAUAAUGAGAAUCAAGAUGUGCCUCAUAAAACUCUGCAAAUCUAAGGCCAAAAGCUGUGAAAAUGACCUUGAAAUGGGCAUGCUGAAUUCCAAAUUCAAGAAGACUCGCUACCAGGCUGGCAUGAGGAAUUCUGAAAAUCUGACAGCAAAUAACACUUUGAGCAAGCCCACCAGAUACCAGAAAAUCAUGAAACGGCUCAUAAAAAGAUACGUCCUGAAAGCCCAGGUGGACAGAGAAAAUGACGAAGUCAAUGAAGGCGAGCUGAAGGAAAUCAAGCAAGAUAUCUCCAGCCUGCGCUAUGAGCUUCUUGAGGAAAAAUCUCAAGCUACUGGUGAGCUGGCAGACCUGAUUCAACAACUCAGCGAGAAGUUUGGAAAGAACUUAAACAAAGACCACCUGAGGGUGAACAAGGGCAAAGACAUUUAGCAGCCCACAUCGGCGUCUGUGACUUCUACCAGCAUUCCAAGGCCAGGUUGGAUGCCCUCGCCCCCAUCCUUGGUGGGGAGGGGUCC
rnacentral:sRNA from 1 species